UAACAACCAAGUUUGUGCGAAGAAAAGAAAACUAUUUUUGUCGCAUUUUUUUCCACGUUGUGCUCAGAGGCCGCUGAAAGUGUGCAAGAGAAGGUGACUUCAGGUAGCCUACGACAGCACGUUGUUUCUGAACUCGACGAGGACUCUUGACCUGGAUUUACCUGAUAAACGAGUUCACAGACACAAUAAAAGGUUGAAGACCAGUGGAGUCCCAGACAGCCGUACAGUGAAGGCCUCAGACUUCAGACUGGAUCCCUCCAGUCCUCCAUCUGUCCAGCUGAUGGCAUGCUGAUCUCCAUCCCACCAGAGAGGGCGAGUCUGAAUGGCGACCUAGACCUUCCCCUGUGCUUCUUCUCCUCUCUGUCCUCUCCAGCUCUUCUCUGAUCCCACAUCCACGGUCUAUCUCAACAUGGAUAUACUCACCGAUGACAUCGAGGGAUGCUACUACAACCGGACCGUCGAUUUUUUCUAUGAGAAGAGUGGCAAGAACAUCAGCGACCACUGGCGCAGCCGUGACUAUGCGAUUGUCAGUCUGGGCAUGACGGUCUGCUUCAUUGUCAUCUUUUCCAACCUUUUGGUCAUGGGCGCCAUUUUUAAAAACAGACGCUUUCACUAUCCCAUCUAUUACCUGCUGGGUAACCUGGCUCUGGCUGACCUCUUCGCCGGUGUCUCCUACCUCCACUUGAUGUUUCAUACCGGUCCGUGGACCAUUAAGCUGUCUAAGUAUCAGUGGUUUGUGCGACAGGGACUGAUCGACACCAGCCUGAUAGCUUCCGUCCUCAACCUCAUGGCUGUGGCCUUGGAGCGUCACCAAACCAUCUUCAACAUGCAGCUGCACAGUAAGAUGAGCACCCGUUGUGUUUUUAUCAUCAUAAUGUGCAUCUGGCUGGUGGCCAUCGUCAUGGGACUGGUUCCCACCAUGGGCUGGCACUGCCUGUGCGACCUGGAGAACUGCUCCACCAUGGCGCCGAUGUUCAGCCGCAGCUACCUGGUGUUCUGGGGGGUUCUUAACCUGCUGACCUUCUUCAUCAUGGUGGCUGUCUACACCCGGAUCUUUGUCUACGUGAAACGCACGAACAAGCAGAUGUCAAAGCACACCACUCAGAUGAGACACAAAGAGACAGUGUUCAACCUGAUGAAGACUGUCUCCAUGAUCCUGGGCUGUUUUGUGUUCUGCUGGACGCCCGGCCUGGUCAUUCUGCUGCUCGACGGUAUGGGCUGUGACGCGUGUGAGGUGCUGCGCUUCGAGAAGUACUUCUUGGUCCUGGCCGAGUGCAACUCCUUCUUCAACCCCAUCAUCUACUCCUUCAGGGACACUGACAUGAGAAGGACCUUCAAGGAGAUCCUGUGCUGCAAGAUAGGUCCCAUGGACCGAAGUAGAAGGGCGUGACUUCGGCUGUCUAUGCCAUGUGUAGUUCCACUUGUUCGUGACCUCCUACUUCUGAAUCGAUCCACAACGCUCUUCCCCAGCAACCAUCAAGACCUAGCAACCGAGCAGCGCCACUUCCUCCAAAACCCUCGCAGCCUCCCCCAUCCUCGCUCCCCUCCCUGCCUCCAUCCUCCUCACCCAAGCUUCAACC